UGCAGUUAAUAGCAGGAGCCUUAUCCUAUCUGGGCUCCUCUCAGUGGGCUGCAGCUUCCUUCAGGGCAUAUCUGUCUACUCCAGUUUGGUCUUUUCCACAGGCUGAGGGAGAAGUCUUGGAUCUGGGGCCUGAUUCACCUCCUCCCCAUCCUUCUUCAUUGACCUUGGAGCCUGCAGAUUUUGUGUUCCACUGUGAGAGCUGCUUGGUAACAUGUAGGCAAGUAAGCUAUAAAGAUGUUCUCCAAACAGUUUCAUAGGUUUUGUGUACCAAAAAGGACAGUGAUGAACCUCCAAACCCAUUAAAAAAAUAAUUCUCUCAACUUGAAGUGAUUACUAUUUGGAGUGGACUAUCUGAAUCCACACUGAAGAAUGCUUGGUGCAGAUUUUUCAGCAGGAUAAUGUUUUGGCCUUAUAGCCUCAUGACUUAACUCUGUUUGGAAGGAACCUCAAGAGAUCAUUGAGUACAUCAUCCCUGGCAAAGCAGUAUUUCAGAACUUGACUCACUUUGGAAGACUGCCAAUAGUGCAAACUUGGAAUGAGGAGAAGAUCCCUCACUGCAAACUUUCAACCCAUGGGUUAAUAGCCAAGAGAGGAAGAUCUCUGUUCAGAGAUUGCCCCUUCUGGAGACUUCGCUGACCUUUGGAAUGGUGAGCUGAUGGCUGUGUGGUUCUUUGAUUCUUUGCUGCCUGCCAGGUUAAUCCACAACAAGGAUUCACAUAGUUGUGGAGGACUAAGGUACUUAAAAUCAGUAAGUAAAUCACAAUGUGGUUAUUUGUGACUGAAAUUCAAAAGACUUUGUAAUGUUUUGAAAAUGACUGACAACCCCUAUAUGUGACAGCUGUUCCAGAAAAGAGACCACAAAACUCUGAAUUAAUAGUGUAUUCAUUUCUAAACCUUGAUUUAUUUUCUGCUUCUUACUCACGUGCAUUAUGUUUCAAAUAUUCAACUAAGUCUAGAAAGGAAGGAAAAAACCAACAGAUUUGUAAUAGCAAAGCAGAAAAUGUAGUGCAGUACUAGUAUCAACAUCAAACAACAAUAUCCUAUUAAAAUACUUCAGAGUAUUGAGUGAAUCUAUUGGUUUUUCAGUGUGUACUACAGAAGGAACCUAUUUGGGGUACAAAAUGAGUUCAGUCUUAGACUUUGCGUACUUAGUAAAGGUUGUAUUUUUGCAGUGUAUGGCAUACUAUGUCAGAACAGAACUGGAGGAGUUAUUAAUGAUAUUAACACAGCGUACACAAUAAUUCUUGUUUCAGUUUUGAAAUCUGAAGUUAUUAUAAUUAGCUUAUUAGGACUUCAUAAAGAUUCAGCUGGACUGUAAUCUUACCAAAAUAUACCUUAUCUGCCUUGCAUAUUCUUUCAGUAUGUCUAUGGACCACAGUUAUACAGAAAAUUCAUCACUGAUAUAUUACUAGAGGUUCAUGAGGUUUGUUUCUAUGAGGUGCUGACCUACUUUUCCUUUAUCUCUUAAGGGAUUAAUUUAUUUUUUUAAUCAAACAUUGCUGGAAUGAGCCAUGUAGUCAAAAAUAAAAAAAUAAAAUGCUGAGUGACAGUUCUCUAGUAUUAAAAUUCUGUAGGCCAUCUCUUUGUUGGUCACAUUUACGGUUUUCAGACAGAAAAUGUUAUCACUUUGUCAGCUUCAGAUGUUGUCAGUUAGUUUGUCAAAUGGCUGAGAUGACAGGCUGUUAUUUUCCACUUGUAAGCAGAGAAGAUGUUGCAAAUACUUCUUCUGUAUCCAGUCAAUACUUUUGCAGUUCUUAAUUAGACUUCUGCAGUGUGCUCACCCUGAGACCAUAUCUACAAGCAAACUACAGAAAAAUGCCAUUAAUUCAUGGUAAGUGAAAUCAAUCUUCCUCAAGCACUAAGGUCACUGACUGAACUGCACAGGGGUCUUUCAUCCUCAAGUUCAUUUUGAAGUUAGUUGAACUGCUAACCUACAUUUCUGGAUAACAGACCCAGUUUAUAAAACAUUUACAGGCAACUUACAUGAUAAAAACAAGAAACCAAAAAACUGGCAAGAUUUCCUUAGGCAUCUGAAAAACACUGCUUGCUUAAAGGAACUAUUAGAAGUGCCCUCAAAAAUUAAUGAGUUAUCAUGUAGCCAGCGAAUUGUGAAUCAUCAAAACAGAGUCUCAGCUUGCUUAUGUUUUUGACUGGAAGUUGGAGACAAUCUAAUAGUUCAGUACUUCCCACUUCAAUCUGUAGUCCAAUGUGUUCUACUACUGUUUCUCUGUACAUUGCAGUUCUUUUGCAAUCCUCUUACAAGAGUUAAUCAGGUUAACAAAUAGGAUCUGCAUGUGGAAAAAGUUUGAUAAUAUGGCUACCAAGAUAGCAUGCACAUUUCUUCUUUAAAAACUGUAAAUGCUGUUAAUUGAAGGUAACUUCUAUUUUGUUCUUAUCUUUUGUUACCUUAGUAUUUUUAUUCCCCUGCAAUUUCAUGUAGCCAAACUUAGAACUGUGCUCAUGAGACUGAGGAAAACUUAGUGCCACAGUCUCACAAAUGCAUUCCAACAGUUGGUACAUAUCCUGGUUUCAGAUAGGAAAGAGCUGAUUAUCUUCAUAGUAUCUGGUAUAAUACUGUGUUUUGGCUUUAGGAAAAAAAAAACGCUGUUGAUAACACAUUGGUGUUCCAGUUGUUGCUGAAGAGUGCUGUACAGAGCCAAGGAUACUUCACCUUUCUGCUUCUCCUACUGUUCUGCUAGCAAGGGAGCUGACCUAAGCCAGCCAAAUGGAUAUUCCAUAGCACGUGACAUCAUGUGGGGAAAAAAAAAAGCUAUAAAACUGAGGGGAGUUGAUUGAGGAAGCCACCACUGCUCAAGGACUGGCUGGGCAUCGGUCAGAGGAUGAUGGCAGCAGAAGGACAGUAUUACAAAACAGCAUCUGACAUAGAAAUGUGUAUGAAGCAAAGGUGUGGAACUGAAUCCAUCCAUGCAGAAGAUAUGGCAACCAAAAAUGAUCGACAACUGCUGAAUGUUUAUGGAGACCAAACAGUGGAUGUGAACACAGUGAUGUAGUCGGUGCAGUCUUUCAGCAGUGUUAAUAGUGACAGUGUGC
ensembl:lncRNA